rnacentral:rRNA from 1 species
GAUGAACGCUGGCGGCGUGCCUAAUACAUGCAAGUCGAGCGAAUGGAUUAAGAGCUUGCUCUUAUGAAGUUAGCGGCGGACGGGUGAGUAACGCGUGGGUAACCUGCCCAUAAGACUGGGAUAACUCCGGGAAACCGGGGCUAAUGCCGGAUAACAUUUUGAACCGCAUGGUUCGAAAUUGAAAGGCGGCUUCGGCUGUCACUUAUGGAUGGACCCGCGUCGCAUUAGCUAGUUGGUGAGGUAACGGCUCACCAAGGCAACGAUGCGCAGCCGACCUGAGAGGGUGAUCGGCCACACUGGGACUGAGACACGGCCCAGACUCCUACGGGAGGCAGCAGUAGGGAAUCUUCCGCAAUGGACGAAAGUCUGACGGAGCAACGCCGCGUGAGUGAUGAAGGCUUUCGGGUCGUAAAACUCUGUUGUUAGGGAAGAACAAGUGCUAGUUGAAUAAGCUGGCACCUUGACGGUACCUAACCAGAAAGCCACGGCUAACUACGUGCCAGCAGCCGCGGUAA